rnacentral:rRNA from 1 species
UACGAAGGGUGCAAGCGUUACUCGGAAUUACUGGGCGUAAAGCGUGCGUAGGUGGUGAGUUAAGUCUGUCGUGAAAGCCCCGGGCUCAACCUGGGAAUGGCGAUGGAUACUGGCUCGCUAGAGUGCGGUAGAGGAGAGUGGAAUUCCCGGUGUAGCAGUGAAAUGCGCAGAUAUCAGGAGGAACACCGGUGGCGAAGGCGGGUCUCUGGGCAGUAACUGACGCUGAGGAGCGAAAGCGUGGGGAGCGAACAGG